AAGUCGUAACAAGGUUUCCGUAGGUGAACCUGCGGAAGGAUCAUUACUAAACUGCCGGGGAAGCCCGAGUGGCUGCGCAAGCAGUCACAAAUCGCCCACUCCCGCAAGGGAGUUGGACCUGGAGCUUGAGUGGUGAGGGAGCGCGAUAUGCUGAGACGCGGUGAAGCGCAAGCCAAGCAGCGUCUGAGCCUCUCUGCCUCUUUCCCGCUCGGCUUCUAAAUACUCUUUAUUUCUUGUCAUUACAAACAACACAAUAACUAAUAUAACUUUCAACAAUGGAUCUCUGGGCUCCU
rnacentral:misc_RNA from 1 species